AACGAACGCUGGCGGCAUGCCUAACACAUGCAAGUCGAACGAGACCUUCGGGUCUAGUGGCGCACGGGUGCGUAACGCGUGGGAACCUGCCCUUAGGUUCGGAAUAACUCCCCGAAAGGGGUGCUAAUACCGGAUAAUGUCUUCGGACCAAAGAUUUAUCGCCUUUGGAUGGGCCCGCGUUGGAUUAGCUAGUUGGUAGGGUAAAAGCCUACCAAGGCGACGAUCCAUAGCUGGUCUGAGAGGAUGAUCAGCCACACUGGGACUGAGACACGGCCCAGACUCCUACGGGAGGCAGCAGUGGGGAAUAUUGGACAAGGGGCGAAAGCCUGAUCCAGCAAUGCCGCGUGAGUGAUGAAGGCCUUAGGGUUGUAAAGCUCUUUUACCCGGGAUGAUAAUGACAGUACCGGGAGAAUAAGCUCCGGCUAACGCCG
rnacentral:rRNA from 1 species